CCCUGCUUGCAGGGUACUCGAGUGGCGAACGGGUGAGUAACACGUGGGUGAUCUGCCCUGUACUUUGGGAUAAGCCUGGGAAACUGGGUCUAAUACCGAAUAUGACCACUUCUUGGAUGGGGUGGUGGAAAGCUUUUGCGGUAUGGGAUGAGCUCGCGGCCUAUCAGCUUGUUGGUGGGGUAAUGGCCUACCAAGGCGUCGACGGGUAGCCGGCCUGAGAGGGUGUACGGCCACAUUGGGACUGAGAUACGGCCCAGACUCCUACGGGAGGCAGCAGUGGGGAAUAUUGCACAAUGGGCGCAAGCCUGAUGCAGCGACGCCGCGUGGGGGAUGACGGCCUUCGGGUUGUAAACUCCUUUCGCAACCGACGAAGCUUUUGUGACGGUAGGUUGAGAAGAAGCACCGGCUAACUACGUGCCAGCAGCCGCGGUAAUACGUAGGGUGCGAGCGUUGUCCGGAAUUACUGGGCGUAAAGAGCUCGUAGGUGGUUUGUCGCGUCGUUUGUGGAAUACCGCAGCUUAACUGCGGGGUUGCAGGCGAUACGGGCAUAACUUGAGUGCUGUAGGGGAGACUGGAAUUCCUGGUGUAGCGGUGGAAUGCGCAGAUAUCAGGAGGAACACCGAUGGCGAAGGCAGGUCUCUGGGCAGUAACUGACGCUGGGGAGCGAAAGCAUGGGGAGCGAACAGGAUUAGAUACCCUGGUAGUCCAUGCCGUAAACGGUGGGCGCUAGGUGUGAGUCCCUUCCACGGGGUUCGUGCCGUAGCUAACGCAUUAAGCGCCCCGCCUGGGGAGUACGGCCGCAAGGCUAAAACUCAAAGGAAUUGACGGGGGCCCGCACAAGCGGCGGAGCAUGUGGAUUAAUUCGAUGCAACGCGAAGAACCUUACCUGGGCUUGACAUACACUGGAUCGGGCUAGAGAUAGUCUUUCCCUUUGUGGCUGGCGUACAGGUGGUGCAUGGUUGUCGUCAGCUCGUGUCGUGAGAUGUUGGGUUAAGUCCCGCAACGAGCGCAACCCUUGUCUUAUGUUGCCAGCACUUGGUUGGGGACUCAUGAGAGACUGCCGGGGUGAAC
rnacentral:rRNA from 1 species